AAAGGUCCCGCCUGCCCAGUGAUAUAUUUUAAACGGCCGCGGUAUUCUAACCGUGCAAAGGUAGCGUAAUCACUUGUCUUCUAAAUAAAGACCAGUAUGAACGGCUAAAUGAGGACAGAUCUGUCUCUUACAACUAAUCAGUGAAACUGAUCUUUCAGUACAAAAGCUGUAAUGACAACAUAAGACGAGAAGACCCUGUGGAGCUUUAAACCCACUAUAAAUAAAACUAUAAACUGUUUUCAAACUAAUAAAAAGUUUUGAGUUGGGGCGACUUCGGAAUAAAACAAAACUUCCGAGCACAGAACCACUAAUUCUUACCAAGGCCAACAAGCCAAAGUGUAAAAGAACAGACCCAGUCACACUGAUCAACGAACCAAGUUACCCCAGGGAUAACAGCGCUAUCUUCUUCAAGAGUUCAUAUCGACAAGAAGGUUUACGACCUCGAUGUUGGAUCAGGACACCCAAAUGGUGCAGC
rnacentral:rRNA from 1 species